GAUGAAGAACGUAGCGAAAUGCGAUAAGUAAUGUGAAUUGCAGAAUUCAGUGAAUCAUCGAAUCUUUGAACGCACCUUGCACCCUUUGGCAUUCCGAAGGGUAUGCUCGUUUGAGUGUCAUUGUACUCUCACACUCUCCGAUCCUAUGGAUUCGGGGAGCGGUGGACUUGGGUGUUGCUGCCUUUCCCUGUGUCUCACCUCAAAUGCGUCAGUGCACCUCUUGGUUGGACAUAGUACGGCGUGAUAAGUGUCUUCGCCGGCACCUCGCAAGAGGGUGGCCGAUCGGGAGCUCUGCGCUUUCAAACCGUCUUCGGACAAUUUCUGACAUCUUGACCUCAAAUCGAGUAGGACUACCCGCUGAACUUAAGCAUAUCAAUAAGCGGAGGA
rnacentral:misc_RNA from 1 species